rnacentral:rRNA from 1 species
GUAGGCGGGGUAAUGGACCGUUUAGGCAAGGAUCCCUAGCUGGUCUGAAAGGAUGACCAGCUGACUGGAACUGAGACACGGUCCAGACUCCUACGGGAGGCAGCAGUGGGGAAUAAUGCACAAUGGGCGCAAGCCUGAUGCAGCCAUGCGGGGUGUAUGAAGAAGGCCUUCGGGUUGUAAAGUACUUUCGGCGGGGAGGAAGGCGAUGGGGUUAAUAACCCUGUCGAUUGACGUUGCCCGCGAAAGAAGCACCGGCUAACUCCGUGCCAGCGGCCGCGGAAAUACGGAGGGUGCAAGCGCUAAUCG